rnacentral:rRNA from 1 species
UACGGAAGGCAGCAGUGGGGAAUAUUGCACAAUGGGCGCAAGCCUGAUGCAGCCAUGCCGCGUGUAUGAAGAAGGCCUUCGGGUUGUAAAGUACUUUCAGUCGUGAGGAAGGUGUUAAGGUUAAUAACCUUAGCAAUUGACGUUAGCGACAGAAGAAGCACCGGCUAACUCCGUGCCAGCAGCCGCGGUAAUACGGAGGGUGCGAGCGUUAAUCGGAAUUACUGGGCGUUAAAGGGCACGCAGGCGGUUAAUUAAGUUGGAUGUGAAAUCCCCGGGCUUAACCUGGGAAUGGCAUUCAAGACUGGUUAGCUAGAGUCUUGUAGAGGGGGUAGAAUUCCAUGUGUAGCGGUGAAAUGCGUAGAGAUGUGGAGGAAUACCGGUGGCGAAGGCGGCCCCUGGACAAAGACUGACGCUCAUGUGCGAAAGCUGGGGAGCAAAC